rnacentral:rRNA from 1 species
CUGCAUGGCUGUCGUCAGCUCGUGUCGUGAGAUGUUGGGUUAAGUCCCCGCAACGAGCGCAACCCUUGUCAUUAGUUGCUACGAAAGGGCACUCUAAUGAGACUGCCGGUGACAAACCGGAGGAAGGUGGGGAUGACGUCAAGUCCUCAUGGCCCUUAUGGGUAGGGCUUCACACGUCAUACAAUGGUCGGGACAGAGGGUCGCCAACCCGCGAGGGGGAGCCAAUCCCAGAAACCCGAUCGUAGUCCGGAUCGCAGUCUGCAACCCGACUGCGUGAAGUCGGAAUCGCUAGUAAUCGCGGAUCAGCAUGUCGCGGUGAAUACGUUCCCGGGUCUUGUACACACCGCCCGUCACACCAUGGGAGUGGGUUUUACCAGAAGUAGUUAGCCUAACCGCAAGG